CCUACGGGAGGCAGCAGUGGGGAAUUUUGGACAAUGGGCGCAAGCCUGAUCCAGCAAUGCCGCGUGAGUGAAGAAGGCCUUCGGGUUGUAAAGCUCUUUUGUCAGGGAAGAAACGGUGGAGGUUAAUACCUUCUGCUAAUGACGGUACCUGAAGAAUAAGCACCGGCUAACUACGUGCCAGCAGCCGCGGUAAUACGUAGGGUGCAAGCGUUAAUCGGAAUUACUGGGCGUAAAGCGUGCGCAGGCGGUUGUGCAAGACAGAUGUGAAAUCCCCGGGCUCAACCUGGGAAUUGCAUUUGUGACUGUACGGCUAGAGUGUGUCAGAGGGGGGUAGAAUUCCACGUGUAGCAGUGAAAUGCGUAGAGAUGUGGAGGAAUACCGAUGGCGAAGGCAGCCCCCUGGGAUAACACUGACGCUCAUGCACGAAAGCGUGGGGAGCAAACAGGAUUAGAUACCCUGGUAGUCCACGCCCUAAACGAUGUCUACUAGUUGUCGGUUACUUUAUUAGUACUUAGUACGUACAGCGUACGCGUGAGUAGACCGCCGUGGGUAAGGUACGGUCGCGAGUAAGUUAAACGUUAAAGUUAGUUAGUUAGACGGCGNGAGACGNGACGACGGACGACGACGAGGGAGGAGG
rnacentral:rRNA from 1 species